UGCAAGUGAUGAACAAAUUGACGCUUGCGUUUUUCACUUUUAAUUAGGCUAAAUUACAGAAAAUCCUCUUGUAAUAAUCCGUUUUUUUACUUUUCCUUUCUGACAUUUAAAAACCUACACUUUGUCCCCUUGUAAAAUAAAAAAUGUGCACUUCAUCCCCUACCGUUAGAGUUCCGUCAGGGUUCCGUUAAAAUAUAUAUUUUUAUGCCGAAAAUACCCCUCCGUCAUCUCCCUGUUGCUUCGACUCCCUCCGGCUCGCCACCUCGCCGCCGCCUCGCCGCCUCGCCGCCUAGCCGUCUCGCCGUCCUCCACUGCCUCGCCCUCACCCACAUCCCCUCCGCCGUCCUCCGCCGCCUCGCCUUCACCUUCUUUGCCCUUCUCCUACUGUUGCCCACCUCGGUUUUCUCCUACUGUCGCCGAAAUCGAGGGCGGCGAGGGUGCAAGAGGAGAAGGGGAGCAGGUGGAGAAAGAAAUGGAGAGAAAUCGCGACGGAUUGAGGUGGGAAUCGCGGCCGAACGAAGAGGCGGCUAAGGAAGAUGGAGAAGAAGACGACAAUGGCGAGGAGCAAAAUGAUCAUUUUACACACUGUAAUCCUCCUGUGAAUAUUUUUUGGGCAAAGUGUAGGAUUUUAAAUGUCAAUUGGAAAAAGUGAAAAAACUGAUUAUUAUAGAAAAAUUUUCUGUAAUUUAACCUUUUAAUUAUGUGAUUGCUAUAAGAAAAGUUUUCUGAUCUAC
rnacentral:lncRNA from 1 species